CCUACGGGAGGCUGCAGUGGGGAAUAUUGGGCAAUGGAGGCAACUCUGACCCAGCAACGCCGCGUGAAUGAUGAAGGUCUUCGGAUUGUAAAGUUCUUUUCUAAGGGAAGAAGAAAGUGACGGUACCUUAGGAAUAAGCCUCGGCUAACUACGUGCCAGCAGCCGCGGUAAUACGUAGGAGGCAAGCGUUAUCCGGAAUGACUGGGCGUAAAGGGUGCGUAGGUGGUUUGACAAGUUUGUAGCGUAACUCCGGAGCUCACCUUCCGAACUACUACCAAAACUGUUGGACUCGAGUGCAGGAGGGGCAACUGGAAUUUCUAGUGUAGCGGUGGAAUGCUUAGAGAUCAUACAGAACACCGAGUGCGAAGGCAGCUUACCAAGCUACUUCUGACGUUGAGGCACGAAAGCGUGGGGAGCAAACAGGAUUAGAUACCCUUGUAGUC
rnacentral:rRNA from 1 species